rnacentral:lncRNA from 1 species
CGGUGAUGCCAGAGCGCGCCGCCAGAUGUCUCUAGUGUCGUCGUCUGCUGUGUCGCGAGAGUCUGUGUGUUCCGAUUAACGCGGAUAUUUAACCGAUUUUCCACGCCUUAGACACUAAAGAAGACUCCGUUAGCAGCGCUACAGGUACAUCCAAACGCUAAAGGACGUGACAACAUGGAGCUCGAGAGUGGCCGCCGGGCGUCGGCGCUGCCAGUGUUAUCUGCGAAUAGGAGAUAAGAGCGGAUAACGGGUAGGCUGCCCGCUAAUUAUCUGAGCCUCGGCACUCGGCACAAUGGGUACUCAUCCCUGCUCCCACGCCCACUCGUUCAAUCGGUCGCUACCUUUCGACAGAAGCUUUCACUUGUGAGCACGUGCGCGCCCU